rnacentral:rRNA from 1 species
CCUACGGGUGGCAGCAGUGGGGAAUUUUGCGCAAUGCUCGUAAGAGUGACGCAGCGACGCCGCGUGAAUGACGAAGGCCUUCGGGUCGUAAAGUUCUUUGGACAGGGAAGAAAAUGCCUAUAAGUAACUUUGUCUGUAUUGACGGUACCUGUAUAAGCAGCCCCGGCUAACUCCGUGCCAGCAGCCGCGGUAAAGAGGAGGGGGGGAGCGUUGUUCGGAGUGACUGGGCGUAAAGAGCACGUAGGCGGUGUUGUAAGUCAUUAGUCAAAGACUAGAGGUCAACUUUAGUAAGGCUUGUGAUACUAUAAUACUAGAGUAUCAGAGAGGAUUGAAGAAUUGCUGGUGUAGCGGUGAAAUGCGUAGAUAUCAGGAGGAAUACCGUUAGCGAAGGCGGCAAUCUGGCUGGAUACUGACGCUGAGGUGCGAAAGCGUGGGUAGCAAACAGGAUUAGAUAACCCGUGUAGUC